AUGCUGGCACCCAGAGAAAGACAGAGUCAGAGCUGUCUGUCUUUGCAGACGGCCAUGCAGCUGCAGGUGUGGGGGCUGCUGAAUAAAGCCAUGUCUCAUCUACCUGCUGUCUCUCUAGUGUUCUUCCAGUUUCCUGCCCCACAUCCACCCACUCCCCUCAGCCCUCAGCUGGGGCUGGAACCUAACCCUGAGCAUACUUGGUGUAGUCAGCAGGAUGAGGUGAGUAGGUCUUCAGCCCCUGAGGCUCCCGGGUUGGCUAUGUGGCCACAGCAUGGGCUGUGGUACCCCGUGGCAGAGAUGCUGCUCGGGUAGGCCCCAGUGGAAACGUGGGAGGCAGUGAAUGGGUCUCCCAUGAGUGUGGAGAAGCAUCUGGAAGCUCACAGCACCAAGAAGGAAUGACCUUUGCCGGCAGAGUCGGAUGGGCGUUUCUGAUUCAGUCAGAAACUGAGUUUCAUGCUCAGUCCCUGCAGGACACAGCACAGCAGCUGCAGCUGUGUGGACAGUUAGCACAAGGGCAGGAUGACCACACGUUAAUCGAGUGGCUAAUGGCAGCCAUAUGGACUGUUUGGAAUGACGCCAGAAAGAUACCAGAAACUGUGAGUAAAUGGCAGUCAUAUACUAAUUUGGUGCAGAUACUCUGAGAGCUGGGUAUGCAGCAGGCUGUUUGAUCUAAACACCCGGGGACCAGAUGAUGAACACUUUACCUCGCACAUGAGGAGUCUUGUGCUGGGCUCAUUGCCCCCGAGUGCUUUUGACUCUCUAGCUGCUGUUCUCACCCCAUAUGUGGGGUGCCACAUACAUGAAGUGACUACUGUUAUGGCAGUCCUGGGGGAGGCAGAAGGCAUCAGCUGGACCGGGGAACCCGUGCCAGAAAGAAGGGGAAGGUGCCCCCUCCGCAGAUAACCAUCCCAUGUGAUAAAAAGCAGCCUGGCAGGUGACCUGCAUGCAGAUGUGGAUUGAUUUACUUGCAGCUGGGGUUGCUCCGGAGAAAACUAACAGGCAACCCAAUGGAAUGCUCUUGGCUCUUUGGAGGCAACUGUCCCCAGAGCAGCAAUUCCGGAGAAUGCUUAAAUGGGGGGUGAAGCAAUGUUGUUCAACCCACUCCCGCCUGGACACCGCAACUCAAGGACUGUUUGCAGACAGGCGGAGAUAUGGAGCCUUUCUUGUUUGAUUAGGGAACUGGCUGAGAUAUGCAGCUCGGUGUGGGGAACCAGACAACCAGAGGCUGUAUGUGGUGCUAGUAAUCCGCUGGUCCCCGACUAAUGUACAGUGGGUCACAGCGGGUCCUAGCACUGGUAGAUACUGGUGCAGACUGCAGCCUAGUUUAUGGGAACCCGGAUAAGUUUUCUGGCAGAGCUGCAUUUAUUACCAGCUAUGAAAGCUGGUCAGUGAAAGUGAAACCUGUGUCUCUUUAUCUUGGCAUCAGCCACUUGGCUCUCCGCCUAUACACUGUGUAUGUCUCUCUCAUACCUGAAUAUAUUCUGGCAGUGGACAUUUUGCAUGGUCUGGACUUGCACACCAUGGCUGGAGAAUUCAGGCUCUGAGUUAGUGCAGUAAAGCUGAUACUGCAGGGACAAUACACAUCACCAGCCCAAGCUCUGCCACAACCCCAACAGGAUACCUCCACUCAUCAAUACUGUUUGUCAGGGGGGCAUACAGCCAUAACUGAGACUAUUCAGAAGUUAGAGGAGGUGCAAAUAGUGCAUGGCACCCAUAGCCCCUACAAUUCCCUGGUAUGGCCAGUCAGAAAGCCUGAUGGAACUGGGCGAAUACCAGUGGAUUAUCGGGAACUGAAUAAAGUAACACCCUCUCAGCAUGCAGCUGUACCCUCCAUCAUGGAUUUGAUGAACCGCUUGACAACGGAACUGGGACAGUACUACUCUGUGAUGAAUGUGAAUAAUGCAUUCUUCUCCACUGACAUUGCUCCAGAGAGCCACGAACAGCUUGCCUUCAUGGGAGGAUGACAAUGGACUUUCACAGUGUUGCUGCAGGGCUAGAUGCAUAGCCCCACCAUGUGUCAUCGUUUUAUUGAUAAUGUCAUAUUAACCUCCGAUUAUCUUGCAGAUUUGAAAGCGACAAUGCCCCUCUUGCCUGGGAUUGGAUGGUGAGGUUGAGACAGCUGUCCUGGCUAUCUCAAGCAGGCUAUUUAGCAGGCACAAGCCCUAUGGGUAGUUGAUCAGAGGUGCCCAUUUAGGCUAGAUGUGCAUGUGACCACAGAUAGUUUCAGUUAGGGCCUAUAGCAGUGCACGGAGUGCUUGAGUAUGCCAGUAGGCUUUUGGCCCCAACUAUGGAGCUGAGCUUGUCUUUAUUGAUAGAGAAGCAGUUAGUAAUAGCAGGAUGGGUAUGUUCAUGGAUAAUGACCCCCUGGACUGGGAAGCAGUUAGUAACUGCAUAUGCUGCCCUUCAGACUCAUAAGAGCAUGGCAGAACAGGCUACAGUCAUCAUGCAGAUGACUUACCCAAUAGCAGGAUGGCUGCUACGUUCAUGGGUAGCGACCCUUCCAGACUGGGACAGCACAGACUGGGACAGCACUUUAUCAAAGUGGGGCACCUACUUAGAGCAGUGAAGUACACUGAAUACAAGUCCCUUAGCAGCAGAGUUACAAGAGGUCUUAGGGCCUGUAGUCCUCAUGCAAGAUAAGGCCAUGGAGCCUGAGGCACCCCCGGCCCCAUUCCUGAUGAGGCAUAAUAUAUAGACAGGUCUAGCCAGAGUACUGCUGCUGCCUGGAUUGCUGCUGCAGUCCAGCCUACUACUGACAUUAUAUGGUUUGAUACCAAGAGUGGGCAAAGUAGCUAAUAAGUUGAGCUCAGGGCAACACGGAUGAGGAUCACCAAGGAGGUGACACCCAUGGUAAUCUACACCAAUGCUGGGCAGUUUAUCAACGCUUAACAUUGUGGUUAAUUACCUGAAAGUUACAGAAUUAGUUAGUCACCAGCCCAUGUAGGGCCAGGCCAUGUGGCCAGAUCUAUGAGAGGAAGGAUGACCCUCUCCAACCAGGUAUGGGGACAAACGGCAAUCUGUUAUUGCCUGCCCCAAUGCCCCUAAAGGUAGGGAAACAAACAAACAAACAAAACCUGGUGUUAGCCAUGGACCCUCCAAGCCCCUCACUGCAGAUGGUUGGCUAUCAUAGCCCCCUUGGGGGAGGGUCUGCAGUAUGACUUAUAUGUUAUUCCCUGGGUAUUUAAUGUGUGGCCUCCAUGAUUGACUGUUCGUAGGGGAAUAGCCAGGAAAGGAACCCUCCUCUGGUGGGGGGAACAUAUGUACUGUCUGUGUGGCCUAUUAUGAGCUCCCUUGUGACUUUGGCAUGGAUACAGGACCCAAAAGAACCACAAGCAGCUGAUAAGGUGUGGUACCAUCACCCAGGGCAGAAGCCCUUGGCAGCUACAUUGUUAUCUAGAGAUAAAAGUUGGCUUGCAUUUGGCCUAAGGGACAUGAUUUACCCUUGUUAGUAUCUGUGCCUACUUUGUCAUUCUGGCCGUAGGUUGGCAUGCUCCAACUGCAUUGUGGACUGGGCCCACACCUACGCUGAGGUGACCAAUGUCUCCAACUGUUGGAUCUGUACUACCCUUCCAGCAGCAGCUGUGGAUGGCUUGCCCUGGCACAUGCACCCAGCUUCUGUGAAAAACUGGACACGACUAGAAACUUGUGGUUCCACAGACAAUUGGUGGGAUGCAACACGGCAGGCUUUGGACAGGGGGUGUCGCAAAACCCAUGGCAAGCCUGCCCCCUGGCUGACUCGUAGUGUCUAUGAUGGGUGGGGCUGGCUAAUGGGAGAACACGUGGUGCCCCCAUCGCAGGUACCACGAUGCAUAGAGCAGCACUGGGGUGAAGUCACUGUGGGAUGGUGGCCUGCUGAGGUUUGUGCAAACAUAACAUGUCACCACACCAAGGGUGUUGUGGAACAAGCGGCCUUACCAAGGCUGGGCUCCAAUGGACUUUGUGCCCCCUGAGAGUUUAUGGGUCUGUGGGGCCCAUAAACCAAAUGGCGAUAUCUACCAGCCAAUUGGACUGGAUGUUUUACUUGGGGGUGGUUUUCUGUGCCUGCCACUGUGCUUCCCACAUUGCCUAGUUGCCCGAAUAACUGGGAGGCACUGCGUUCCCAGUUUUUGCCACCCUCUGGUGGCUCCACCCCUUAGCAAUAACUAUCCCUGGAGCAGGUGUCGUUACUAUAGAAAUGCAAGUUACAGCCCUUGCAGAGCACACAGCUCGGGCCCUGAAUUACACCCGAGUUGCUCUCCUUUUGCUAACUGAUGAGGUUGAUCAGAUCAGGAAGGUGGUGCUGCAAAAUCGGAUGGCCUUAAACAUAGUCACAGUUGCUCAGGGUGGCACCUGUGCCCUUGGAGGGACACAAUUUUGUACAUUUAUCCCUGACAUCCACUAGAACAUAAUGGUAGCUUUACAAGGGGUGUCACAGGAGAUUAAGGCUAUUGAGCACCUUACUGAUGACCCUCUGCAGAGACAGUGGGUGCCUCUGGGCACUACCCUAUGCUGGGCUCUAAUAAUCAUAGGUAACGUAACAGGAAUAUUUAUAGUAGGUUGUUGUUCUCUGUAUUGUUGUUGUGACCUAUGAGUUCAGGGUGCUGCCCUAUGUGCAUGGAUCCCCACUAAAAGAACUCCCUCAUUCCAGGGGGUGGAAUGUAAGGCCUGUGUGCCAAGCCUGUUUAUCAAACUCGUGUGCCCAAAACUUAUGUAUAAGGCCUUGUGUGUGUAUAUCAAGCCUAUGUACCCAAAGCUUAUGCAUAUAACCUGUAUCCAAGGCCUAUGUCUCCCUUGGCCUAGGGGGUGGAGUGUAAGGAACAUGGCUGUGCUUUGGUUAAGGAUAGGCCGAGGUAGGAUGUUUACAUCCUGUGUGACUCAGCAGGUUUAGAGCGCAGGCAUAUAACUCCACUUGUUAUCACAGCCAUGUAGCCAUACAUGGGAAGGCCAUCAGUUGGCUCUAUGCCACUAUUGUCUGUAAAAUGUAUGAUUGCCCUGUUGACGUUGUGCUGGUGCACUGGGAGAGAGAGUCAGAGCCGUCCUUUGCAGACAGACGGUGGGGGAGCCAGGACACAGCUUGGCUCACUUGUGCCCAGAGAAACAGUUAAGCUACUGACCCUGAAGCCAAGGGAGAGCUGGCCAUGCAGCUGCAGGUGUGGGGGCUGCUGAAUAAGGCCAUGUCUCAUCUACCUGGUGUCUCUCGAGUGUUCUUCCAGCUCCCUGCCCCACAUCCACCCACUCCCUCAGCCCUCAGUUGGGCUGGAACCUGACACUGAACACGACAAAGGCUGACCCCCAAAUGGUUUUAAAUUACAGUAAAACAAAAACCUCCUUCUAAAGGCCUUAAAAAUUGGAUAAUGACUUAGUUUCAUUCAAAGGAUAGAUUUUAAAAGCCCCUUAUAGCCAUAGCCAGACCUAGAGACCACUCAAAUCCAUAAUGAUACUGGAAUUAUAGAAUUUUAGAACUGGAAAGUAUUUAGGGGGAUAAAAAUCCAUUAAUCUAGUCAUUUUACAGAAAAUAAAAUGAGUUCCAGAAAAGUGAAAUUAUUUACAAAAGUCACACAGCUAAUUAGCUAUUAGAGCUAGGACUAGAAUUUAGUUAUCUUGACUCAAGAUAACCUGCUUUUGAAGUAUCCUUUUAUUACUUAGUUCUGUGACCUUGCUGAGAUUUUCUUAUAUAAAAGAUUGGAAAUAUGUAAAUAUUUAAAUUUUAUUCUUAAAUACUAUUUAUUAAUACAGAGAAAUACUCCUGCUAUAAUUUUAAGUGACACAAUAGUACAACAAUUGUUAAGAACAAUCCACCUGUGUCAAAGAGACACAUACACAAACACACAUCCAUAUACACAUACAAGCUUGGAGAAAAUUCUGAAAGGAUCUCAUUGUCCUAGAUGGUGGCAUUAUGGGCAAUUAUUUUGCAAAUGUCACCCAGUGAAGAAGCAAUGGUGCCUUUGGAAAGUAUGUAGCUCUUAGUUAAGCUUUUAUCUGGAAGGUGCUGGAGAAGGUCUGGGCACAGAGCUGGUUGGCUCCAUGGUUUUGUGACCUGUGCCAUCACAUAGGACCCCAUGUUCAGAAGGACCCCACUCUUGGUUUAAUGCUCUGCUGCCGUGUCUUGAAAUUCUUAAUAAUUUUUUUGAACAAGGGAUGCUGCAUUUUCACUGUGUUCUGGGCCUAAUGAUUAUGUAGUCAAUCUUGUCUGGCAGCUCUUCUCUGGCCCAUUCACUGGUAGAUGAUUGUGGGGUGGUUAUUUCUUUAAAUUUUUCAUUUAAAAAAAAUCAUAUUCAUAUUAUUAAAAAUUAAAAAAUAGAUUUGCAGAAAAAUUAGAUCACCCUUAGAACUCUCAAGGGCAGAUACAUUUUAACUAGCAUCUCUUCACACAUCACAAUGAUGCUUGGUGUUUAGUCUGAAGGAUAAAAAACAAUUCAGUAUUUUAUAGUAUAAAUUGCUAAACACAUAAUUACAAAAAAAGUAUGCCUGUGAAAUUAGGCUAUCUAUUCCUUGAGAGAUGGAAUUAGAUAUUAGUUUUCUAUUGCCACAAAUGUAGCAAUUUAAAGCAAGAGUUUAUUAUCUCCCAGUUUCUGUAGGUCAUAAGUAAGGCCAUAAUGUGACUGGGCUCUCUGCUCAAAGGUCUCACCAAGCUAUAAUCAAGGUGUCAGCCUGGACUGUGUUUCUCAUCUGAGGCUUGAGGUCCUCUUCCAAGAUCAAGUGGUUGUUGGCAGAAUUCAUUUCCUUGCAGGACUGAGGUCCCAGUUUCCUUGCUGGCUGUCAUCCAGGAACUGCUCUCAGCUCCUAGAGGUUGCCCACAUUCCUUACUACAUACCUGCGUCCAUCUUUAAGCCAGCAAUGGCCUAUAUGCUUCAACUCUCUGACUUUCUCUUCUGCAACCAGCCAAGAAAAUUCUUUGCUUUUAAAAGGCUCAUCUGAUUAGGGCAGGUCCACCUGGAUAAUUAGGUCAACUGUGCCAUAAAACGUAACCUAGUCAAGGUAGUAGAUACAUCAAAUUUACAGUAACAGGGUGUGUACAGUGGGGGUAAGUCUUGGGGACCAUUUUAGAAUUCUGCCUACUACAACUGUCCUAAAGAGACUCAUGUGACAAACAAGAGGUUUCUAUACUCUACUUCUCUAUCCAACCCUAUCAUGACUUUAAUAGUCUUUUCAGCCAGGCACAGUGAUGCCCACCUGUAAUCCCAGCACUUUGGGAGGCUGAGGCAGGAGGAUUGCUUGAGAUUAGCAGUUUGAGACUAGCCUGAGCAAUAUAGCGAGAACUUUGUCUCUGCUAAAUAAAUAAAUAAAUAAAUAAAUUGGGCAUGGUGGUGUGUCCCUGUAUUCCCCCAGCUACUUGGGAGCAGAUACUCUAGCCCCAGUCAAGCUUUCAUAUGGCUUCAGCCUUAGUUAACAUCUUGACCCAUUCUUGAUCCUGAGCCAGAACUACUGAGCUAAAUGCUCCUGAAUUCCUGACCCACAGAAACUGAGAUAACUGUUUAUUUUUCCAAGCUGUUAAGUUUUGCAAUAAUUUAUUGUGUAGCAAUAGAUAAUUAACACAAUCAAACUACCAAAGCUUGCUCAAGAAAAGCUUCACAAUGUCCUAUAUCCGUAAAAGAAAUGGAAUUCGUGGUUAAAACCUUUCAACAGAGAAAACUCCAGGUCUGGAUAGUUUCACUGUUGUAUUCUAUCAAGCAUUUAAGAAAGAAAGAAAAAAUGCCAGCUAUUAGCUUAAUUGUUGCUCCUUUCAAAGUAAUAUUUCUUUUGGCUUCUUUAUACUUUUUCCAUCUUUGGUUAUCAGCAGUUUUACAAUGGUGUAAUUUCAUGUGGUUUUCAUUUUAUUUAUCCUGUUUGGGGUUUAUAAGCGUUCUUGAAUCUGAAGUUUGAUGUCUUUCAAUUUUUUUACAAAGUUUUUAAAUAUAUUUUUUGUAUUUUUUUGUUUGUUUGUUUUACCCAAGUCCUGCCUCAGGAUCUAUCUUUCAAUUUUGUAAAGUUUUUAAUAAUUAUCUUUUUUUUUUCUUUUUUUUGAGACAGAGUCUCAAUCUGUCCCCCAGGCUGAAGUGCAGUGGUGCAAUCUCGGCUCACUGCAAGCAAGCUCCACCUCCCGGGUUCACACCAUUCUCCUGCCUCAGCCUCCCGAGUAGCUGGGACCACAGGCGCCCACCACCAUACCUGGCUAAUUUUUUUGUAUUUUUAGUAGAGGUGGUGUUUCACCAUGUUAGCCAGGAUGGUCUCGAUCUCCUGACCUUGUGAUCCACCUGCCUAGGCCUCCCAAAGUGCUGAGAUUACAGGCAUGAGCCACCACGCCCAGCCAAUAAUUAUCUCUUAAACUAUUGCUUAUGUUUCAUUUUCUCUCUCCUCUCUUGGGACAUAAAUUUCCUCUGUUAGAUCUUUUACUAAAUCUAUGUCUCAACUUUUGUAUUUUUAUUAUUUUGUCUCUCUGCAUCAUUCUGGAUUUUUUUUUCUAAUUUGUGUUCAUUCACCAAUUCUUUCUUCAGCUAUGCCUGUUCUGUCAAUUCUAUCCAUCAGUCUCCUAAUUUCAAGCAUGCUAAUUUUCAGUUCUAGUGUUUCCUUUAAAAUUUUUUUUAAAUUGACACAAAAUAAUUGUACAUAUUUAUGGCAUAUAUGGUGAUAUGUUGAUACAUUUACUGCACAGUGAUUAGAUCAGGGAAAUCAGCAUAUUCUUCAACUCAAAACAUUUCUCAUUUGUGUUGGGAACAUUCAAUAUCCUCUAUUUGGAAAUAUAUAUUAUUAACUAUAGUCAUCCUACAGUGCAGAAGAAUGCUAGAACUUAUCCCCCCCAUCUAGCUGUUUCAUUUUGUUUUUAAUAUAAUUUUCAGUUCUUUGCCAAAAUUCUUGUAAGUUUAAUUUUCUUUUUCUUUUUUUUUUUAAGCUUGUCUCUGAAAACUCCAAUAUCUGGAGGUCCCUACAGAUGUUUAAAUAGAAGCUCCUGCUGGUAUUCACUCAUGUCUCUUUCUGUGGCUACUUUUUAUUGUGUGUUCUACAGUGUACCUGCAAAACUGUUUAUAGAUUUAUUUUGAGGCCUAGUUUGUUAGUUUUCUACACUGUGUAACAAUAUUACCACAAAUCUGGUGUGUUAAGAACAAGACACAUUUAUUAUCUCACAGGUUCUGUGGGUCAGGAGUCCAAGCACAGAUUAGCUGGCUUCUUUCUGUUUCCUGGUCUCAAAAGACUGCAAUCAAGGUGUUAGCCAGAGCUAAGGUCUCAGCUAGGGCUCCACUGAACCAGGAUUCACUUCCAAAAUAACAAGGUUGUUGGCAAUCUUCAGUUCCUGGCACACUACUAGAACAAGGAUCUGUUUUCUUGCUGACUACUGGCUAGAGGCCACCCUUAGUUUCUUGCCAUGAGGCCCUCUCCAAAGGCUGGUUUACAUCAUGGCAGCUUGCUUCUUCAAAGUCAACAAGAGUCUCUUAAUAAGAUGAACAUUAGAAUUUGCUGUAAUCAUGUCCAUCUCAUCAUCUUCGUGGUAGUCUAUGGAUUAGAAUCAAGUCAUGGGAGUCUCCCUCCACACAAGGAAUACCAGGGGACAGGGAUCAUAGUGGCCACCUUAGAGUCUGUCUGCCACACCUAGGAUGUUAAUUUCUUCCUGAAAAGCAAAUGUAGAUUUGCUUCUGCCAUGCAUCUGAGAGCUCUAAAAACCUUAGAUAACCUCAAUCUAAUUUCAGAAACUGAGGGUAUUUGAAGCUGAGCUGCCAUCCCUUUGAAGGCCUGCUUACUUCUGGACCACUGUUACUCCUAAUGAGUAGCCAUUUGGGAUCCUCACUCCAAGUAAGGGAAAGGGUUUACCAGUGCAGGCCCCUUCUUCCUUGUCCCAUAAGGUUGUCAAAAUGGCCAUUCAACAGCUCAGCAAUCACUUACCACUCACAGAAUUGGCCAACACAAGGGAAAACAGCUCCCCUAACAAAGUUUCUGUUUCCUUAGGAAUUCUUCAUUGUUGCCAGCUCGCUGAUGUCUUCAACCAGGUGUUUUUAAUUAAUUUAUUUUUAGUUUAUCUUUUUUUUUUUAAGAGAUGGGGUCUCCCUAUGUUGCUGAGGCUGUUCUCAAACUCCUGAGCUCAAGUGAUCCCCUAGCCUUGCCUCCCAAAGUGCUGGGAUUAAAGGUGUGAGCCACCGUGCCCAGCCCAGAUGUUUUUAAAAUUUUGUUCAGCUGCCAGCUUUUCUAGAUGUUCUCAGUGAAGAUCUAGGACAAAUUUCUUGGUCUACCAUCAUUGUAAAUGAAAGCUUUUAUUUUUAUUUAUUGUAGAGAUGGGGGUCUCCCUAUAUUGCCCAGGCUAGUUUUGAACUCCUGGCCUCAAGCGAUCCUCCUACUUUGGCUUCCCAAACUGCUGGGAUUACAGGUGUGCGCCAUUGUGCUCAGCCUACUUUUUUAUGUCCAGCAUUUGGAGAGGGCCACAUGGCAAGAAAUUCACUCAGCAAGAAAACAGAUUCUUGUUCCAGUAGUUUGCUACGAACUGAAUAUUGGCAACAACUCUGUUAUUUUGGAAGUGAAUCCUGCUUCAGUGGAGCCUCAGCUGAGACCUCAGCUCUGAACACAUCUGAAACACAGAUGUGUUUCAACAUAAUCUAACCUAAAGCAAAACAAAGAUUUUUCAACCUAGAAAAAAGAUUAGAGAGUACUAAUUAUAUUGAAUAUUUCUAUUUCUGAAGCUUUCCAUAAUUUGGAAAAUAAAAUAUUAUUAAAUACUGCAUUUUUAUGGCUAAAACAUCAAUCUAGAAAUUAGCAUGGACUUAUAAAACAUUUUAGAUCAGUUGAUAUUUUGCUAAUAUCCCUAUAUGAAAGUCUUAAAUACUGAGUAUUCCUGCAAAUUACAUACAGUAUUGAAUUGCUCAAAACUGCAUUGCCAAAUAUAAACAACACACCGAUUAAACUAGCUACUGUAGUUGUCUAUGGUGCUAUGAUAUGAAGUUAGAAUAUCUGAAGGACAUUAAUAUGUACUUCACUUCAAACGGAAAGCCUGAAAUUGAUGAAAACUUCAACAAUAGAUACUGCAUCCCUAUCUUUAAAAUACACUGGUUUGGGAGGAUAUUAUAUAAAUUUGGUAGCCUUUUAUUCUUAUGUGAAUAAAGCAUCAGACUUUAUUUUUUAAGAUCUGUAACUACUGGAUAUACUUUUAAAAUAAAUAUCUGGCUGGCCACAGUGGCUCAUGCCUGUAAUCCCAGAACUUUGGGAAACCAAGGCAGGAGGAUCACUUGAAUCUAAGAUUUUGAGAUCUGUGCAAAGUAGUGAGACCUCAUCUCUAACAAAAAAUAACAAAACAUUAGCUGGCAUGAUGGCACGAGCCUGUAGUCCUAGCUCCUCAGGAGGCUGAGGUGCGAGCAUCACUUGAGCCCAGGCGGUUGGGGCUGCAAUGUGCGGAGAUCAAGUCACUGCAAUCCAGGCUGGGUGACAGAGACCUUGUCUCAAAAAAGGAGGAAUAUCUAAGAGAAUAAAAUAUGCUUACUUGCUCCAGGAAUAAAUUAAAAAAUAUAAACUAUCAACCACCUUUAGUGGAGACCACUAGCUGUACCUAACUCAAUUCUGUACUUUUUUCCCCAACUUUUCCUGGGCACAUGACUACCUGGAAUGAAAGCUAUAUUUUCCAUCCUUCCUUGCUAUUUACAAGUAAGGCAUUAUGACUAAGUUUGGCCAGUGACAUUUAAAUAGAAGUGUUGGGUACAACUUCUGGGAAAUUUCUUUAGACAGGGGAUGUAACUUUCUCACUGCCCUCUUUCUUGCUGGCCAGAGUGCUGCUGUGAGGGCUAGAGCUUCACCAGCAACCUUGGAUCAUGGGUUGAAUGCCAAGUGCUGAGGUUGGUAGACUAACACAGCAACCCUGAAAUACUUACCUCUGGAAUUCUUUCAUGUGAGAGGAAAAAAAAA
rnacentral:lncRNA from 1 species